rnacentral:tRNA from 2 species
GGAGAAAUGGCAGAGUGGUCGAAUGCGACAGUCUUGAAAACUGCUGUACCGCAAGGUACCGGGGGUUCGAAUCCCUCUUUCUCCGCCA